UUAUUGACCUUCAAUCAUUUCACAUGUUCACUAAAUCAUUUGUCACACAAAAAGCAAAUGCUGUUUUGCUGACUCAAACACUUCACCCAUCCCCUUCACUGGCCUAGAGCUCCAAGAAGAGCCGUGGGGAGGGGGGAGUUUUUCAGAAAGACAAAUGUUAGCGCCAUACCUGUAUCCAAAUCUGCGGUGUGCGGAUGUCGACGAGCGGACCAAUAAGAUGCAGUUGCGUAUUUGGCUUUGGGAAGUCACCUCACUCACUUGUCUCACACACUCGGUCUCUUUCAAUUCACUCUCCAGUGGUGCUGACAGGCCGCUGCAGUCUCUCGCCUGCCGUGUCUGGGUGUUUGAGUGUGGAGGUGAGCCAGGUUGCUUUAGUGUUUACUCUUAUUCUCAGUGGCCAGGAGGGAGAGGUGGGGCCACUCAGUACAGGUAAACCCCCACCUUUUUUUCCUCCUUCUUCAAUCUCUCCCAUUCUCUCUCUCUCAGCUGAUAAGAAGUGAGACAAAAGGGACGACGUGAAGGGACAGAGGGUGUGACCAAAGGUGAUGAUUGGCAACAAUCAGGGAAGUCAUGAGGAGCUGGUGUUGGACACAUUCACAGUUACUCUCUGUAAAUGUGUUCUCGACCUCCCAUUAUUAAAUAACAUCUCAGACUAAUCUAAUCUGAGUCAGAAAAAUAUAUUUUUUCAUCUUACUGACG